GACAGAGGAUGCAAGCGUUAUCCGGAAUGAUUGGGCGUAAAGCGUCUGUAGGUGGCUUUUUAAGUCCGCCGUCAAAUCCCAGGGCUCAACCCUGGACAAGCGGUGGAAACUACCAAGCUGGAGUACGGUAGGGGCAGAGGGAAUUUCCGGUGGAGCGGUGAAAUGCGUAGAGAUCGGAAGGAACGCCCGUGGCGAAAGCGAGGUCCUGGACGUCUACUGACACUGAGACGCGAAAGCUAGGGGAGCGAACGGG
rnacentral:rRNA from 1 species